CAGCAGCCACGGUAAUACGUAGGUCCCGAGCGUUGUCCGGAUUUAUUGGGCGUAAAGCGAGCGCAGGCGGUUUUGUAAGACAGAUGUGAAAUCCCCGGGCUCAACCUGGGAACUGCAUUUGUAACUGGCAAGCUAGAGUGUGGCAGAGGGGGGUGGAAUUCCGCGUGUAGCAGUGAAAUGCGUAGAUAUGCGGAGGAACACCGAUGGCGAAGGCAGCCCCCUGGACCAACACUGACGCUCAUGCACGAAAGCGUGGGGAGCAAACAGGAUUAGAUACCCCCGUAGUCCCUGUCUCUUAUAC
rnacentral:rRNA from 1 species